GGGGGUGUAGUUCAGUGGCAGAGCACGUGGUUAGCAUGCACAAGGUCCUGGGUUUGAUUCCCAGCACCACAG
rnacentral:tRNA from 1 species